CCUACGGGUGGCAGCAGUGAGGAAUAUUGGUCAAUGGGCGCGAGCCUGAACCAGCCAAGUAGCGUGAAGGAUGACUGCCCUACGGGUUGUAAACUUCUUUUAUAAAGGAAUAAAGUGAGGCACGUGUGCCUUUUUGUAUGUACUUUAUGAAUAAGGAUCGGCUAACUCCGUGCCAGCAGCCGCGGUAAUACGGAGGAUCCGAGCGUUAUCCGGAUUUAUUGGGUUUAAAGGGAGCGGAGAUGGGUUGUUAAGUCAGUUGUGAAAGUUUGUGGCUUAAACGUAAAAUUGCAAUUGAUACUGGCAGUCUAGAGGACAGUUGAGGUAGGCGGAAUUCGUGGUGUAGCGGUGAAAGGCUUAGAUAUCACGAAGAACCCCGAUUGCGAAGGAAGCUUACUAACCGGCUACUGACAUUGAUGCUCGAAAGUGUGGGUAUCAAACAGGAUUAGAUACCCUAGUAGUC
rnacentral:rRNA from 1 species